rnacentral:rRNA from 1 species
GUGGGGGAUAUUGCACAAUGGGGGAAACCCUGAUGCAGCGACGCCGCGUGAGGGAAGAAGGUCUUCGGAUUGUAAACCUCUGUCUUCGGGGACGAACACAAUGACGGUACUCGAGGAGGAAGCCACGGCUAACUACGUGCCAGCAGCCGCGGUAAAACGUAGGUGGCAAGCGUUGUCCGGAAUUACUGGGUGUAAAGGGAGCGCAGGCGGAGCUGUAAGUUGGGCGUCAAAUCUACGGGCUUAACCCGUAUCCGCGCUCAAAACUGUGGCUCUUGAGUAGUGCAGAGGUAGGUGGAAUUCCCGGUGUAGCGGUGGAAUGCGUAGAUAUCGGGAGGAACACCAGUGGCGAAGGCGGCCUACUGGGCACCAACUGACGCUGAGGCUCGAAAGUAUGGGUAGCAAACAGGAUUAGAUACCCUAGUAGUCC